rnacentral:rRNA from 1 species
GACGAACGCUGGCGGCGUGCCUAAUACAUGCAAGUUGAGCGCUGAAGGUUGGUACUUGUACCAACUGGAUGAGCAGCGAACGGGUGAGUAACGCGUGGGGAAUCUGCCUUUGAGCGGGGGACAACAUUUGGAAACGUAUGCUAAUACCGCAUAAAAACUUUAAACACAAGUUUUAAGUUUGAAAGAUGCAAUUGCAUCACUCAAAGAUGAUCCCGCGUUGUAUUAGCUAGUUGGUGAGGUAAAGGCUCACCAAGGCGAUGAUACAUAGCCGACCUGAGAGGGUGAUCGGCCACAUUGGGACUGAGACACGGCCCAAACUCCUACGGGAGGCAGCAGUAGGGAAUCUUCGGCAAUGGACGAAAGUCUGACCGAGCAACGCCGCGUGAGUGAAGAAGGUUUUCGGAUCGUAAAACUCUGUUGGUAGAGAAGAACGUUGGUGAGAGUGGAAAGCUCAUCAAGUGACGGUAACUACCCAGAAAGGGACGGCUAACUACGUG